rnacentral:rRNA from 1 species
UACGUAGGGUCCGAGCGUUGUCCGGAUUUAUUGGGCGUAAAGAGCUCGUAGGCGGUUUCGUUAGUCGGGUGUGAAAACUCCGGGCUCAACCUGGAGACGCCACCCGAUACUGCGAUGACUAGAGUCCGGUAGGGGAGUGUGGAAUUCCUGGUGUAGCGGUGAAAUGCGCAGAUAUCAGGAAGAACACCUAUGGCGAAGGCAGCUCUCUGGGACGGUACUGACGCUGAGACGCGAAAGCGUGGGGAGCGAACAGG